UACGAGGGGGCAAGCGUUGUUCGGAAUUAUUGGCGUAAGGUGCGUAGGCGGUCUGACAAGUCUGAUGUGAAUCUAUGGCUCAACCAUAGUCUGCAUCGAACUGUCGGCUUGAGUAUGGAGAGUGAGUGAAUUCGUGUAGCGUGAAUGCGUAGAUAUCGAGACACUGUGCGAAGCGACUCACUGACAUAACUGACGACUGAUGCACGAAGCUAGGAGCACAGAUAGAU
rnacentral:rRNA from 1 species